GUCUGCUGCAGGUUCUCAUUCCUAUCAAAUCCCAGAGGUUUCCUGUUUGUCAUGCUCAGGUGGAGAUCAUCACCACACAGUUUUGGCUCAAAGGGAGGAUGAGUACCCUCUGCAAUACACCUUCCCAGGUGCUGACUUUUCCCCUGCCAAGAUGUUGCCCUAUUUGGGAUCCCCCGGGACUGCAGCUGCACAAGACGGACUGCCGUGAUUAUUUCUGGGUGCGACGCAGAUUUCCUUGAGCAUCGGACAAGCUUUGUUCCCACCAACAUGUGGCUGCAGAAGCCCGUCGCUCUGGUAAGAGGCAAGAAUUAACUCAGGUAGCGCGGCCUGAGAACAAAAGCCUGAUGGAAAAGUGGAAGAAGCUGACGCUGGAGAUUUUCGUUUCCAUACUGUCCCUGGGAUAUUUGCUGAAAAAUCAAAAGAUGUGACUUUUCUGGAAAAGUUCAAACCCAGAAAGACUGAAAAAUAACGUUCCCUAAAUCCACCAUGCCGGUAGGGCCGAAUCCUCCCCUUCGGAAAGUUCACAUUUUGAGGAAGGUGUUCAACACGGAAAUCAGAUUUCAGCAAACCCUUGCCCUUUCCAACACUGAAAAUACCUCCCAUGUUCUGCACUUUUCAAAUAUUAAAAGAGUAACUUGAUGAAGGAGAUCUCUGUUUGCACAGUCAUACAAGGAUUAGGGAUUCACAUUUCAUAAAAUCUCUUUCAAGAUGGCUCGUACAGCCUGCAGGCAGCCUUGUCUCACCAUGCACUGGCAAUCUCACCCACAGGUGUAUUUUACUGUAUCCUUUGCACAUUAUUCUAGAUUGGCACCUCUGAAGUCAGCUGGAGUUUUAUAUUACAUGGAAAAGCAGUUUUAUAUACUCCCAACUGCAUAUUCAUUAAUACCUUAGAAAACUUUUCAAAUUCAAAAUUGUGACUUCUGUCAGUGGUAGCAUACAAGCUAUUCACUUUUGGGCAUCUGUUUGUUGGUAUGCGUAUGACUUUAAGCAACUGUACAGCUGCUUCUGGGAACCAGUGUGGUCAGAGGCACAGACAGCAAAUGGUGGAGUGGGGCAGGAGAAGACUAUUUGCAAAGUAACUCUGCUUGCGGAAAAGGAAAUGGUAGCAAUUGUUUAUCUGCCUGACUGCUGUGUGAAAAAAGUGCAAGCUGGGAGAUGGUGCUGCUCAGGACCUUCCACACAGUGCAGGAUGCCAGUAACUGUGAACCCGAGUGUUGGCUGCGGAUUUGCACAACGUCAGAGCUCUAGCUCUGGACUUGUGUUUUGAGGGCUACACGCAUGUACAACAAAGCUGCAGAUAGGCUCUAUGUAUACAACAUCCUAGCCAGGUCCCAGGCACUAGAGUUGUAAAUGACAUCACAUCAAGGCACAAGGGAAUAUUAAAGAAAGCAGUAUGCAGUUUGAGAAGUUUAUAUAUUCAAUGCAGUAUUUUGGUCAAAUAUCUUGCUGUGACUUAUGUCACAUUGGUAUAAAUAGAUUCCACUUUUCACAUGUAAUGACUUUUACUCAUGCAUGUUCUGAAGCUAAUAGUUCUAAAAUGAGAACAGCCAUUGCCAAUAAUUGAGUGUAGUCUGAAGGAAGACUGCAUAUUAUUCGUUAUUUGCAUAAAUUUUGCACAUGCAAAACUAGAACUCUGCA